UACGUAGGGGGCUAGCGUUGUCUGGAAUCAUUGGGCGUAAAGCGCGUGUAGGCGGUCCGGUAAGUCCGCUGUGAAAGUCGGGGGCUCAACCCUCGAAUGCCGGUGGAUACUGUCGGGCUAGAGUGCGGAAGAGGCGAGUGGAAUUCCUGGUGUAGCGGUGAAAUGCGCAGAUAUCAGGAGGAACACCAAUUGCGAAGGCAGCUCGCUGGGACGUUACUGACGCUGAGACGCGAAAGCGUGGGGAGCAAACAGG
rnacentral:rRNA from 1 species